AGGAAAAGUGUGAAAAUUCAAGGAAACAAGUGAAAAAGGUGGUGAAUCCUCCGCUAAGGGCAAAGAAAUUGUACCCGAGGAUCGGUAGUCAAAGUACUCUAGAAAUUCGACUCCCGAAAUAGCUGGGUAGUAUAAUAUUAGUCAUGUCAUGCUGUCAAAAUUUUAUUGUACGGUGGGUUUAGCUUACUGCAAUGGGCGGAUUCUAUGGACCAGCCUAUUAGAGGGGCACGAAUCCGGUUUUAUAUGUACCUCGGUCAGAAAGGCGCGUAGGGUAUCUCUUGAGGCAUGGUUAGAGUUCAUGUCACACCGAACCACCUUGUGAUGAUGAACUCCGCUAACGCCAAGAAACGGCUAUAUUUUUCAAACUAAAAAUAUGUUUAUGUGUAUAUGAAACUUUUUAACAGCCUUAGCGGACUCGGUUAAAUGCCUCGGUCAAGGUAUUCCCGAGAAUGAUUUUGGCAGGAGCCAAGCUUUGAAGAUACUCAUAAGCCAUGUUGAUUAUUUAAAUGA